UGGGGAAUAUUGCGCAAUGGGGGAAACCCUGAUGCAGCAACGCCGCGUGAAGGAUGAAGGUUUUCGGAUCGUAAACUUCUUUGACCGGGGACGAACAAAGACGGUACCCGGAAAACAAGCCACGGCUAACUACGUGCCAGCAGCCGCGGUAAUACGUAGGUGGCGAGCGUUGUCCGGAAUUACUGGGUGUAAAGGGCGUGUAGGCGGGAAAGCAAGUCAGAUGUGAAAUACCGGGGCUUAACUCCGGGGCUGCAUCUGAAACUGUUUUUCUUGAGUGUCGGAGAGGAAAGCGGAAUUCCUAGUGUAGCGGUGAAAUGCGUAGAUAUUAGGAGGAACACCAGUGGCGAAGGCGGCUUUCUGGACGACAACUGACGCUGAGGCGCGAAAGCGUGGGGAGCAAACAGG
rnacentral:rRNA from 2 species